GGGUGAGUAACACGUGGGAACGUGCCCUUUGGUUCGGAACAACUCAGGGAAACUUGAGCUAAUACCGGAUGUGCCCUUCGGGGGAAAGAUUUAUCGCCAUUGGAGCGGCCCGCGUAGGAUUAGCUAGUUGGUGGGGUAAAGGCCCACCAAGGCUACGAUCCUUAGCUGGUCUGAGAGGAUGAUCAGCCACAUUGGGACUGAGACACGGCCCAAACUCCUACGGGAGGCAGCAGUGGGGAAUCUUGCGCAAUGGGCGAAAGCCUGACGCAGCCAUGCCGCGUGAAUGAUGAAGGUCUUAGGAUUGUAAAAUUCUUUCACCGGGGACGAUAAUGACGGUACCCGGAGAAGAAGCCCCGGCUAACUUCGUGCCAGCAGCCGCGGUAAUACGAAGGGGGCUAGCGUUGCUCGGAAUUACUGGGCGUAAAGGGAGCGUAGGCGGAUAGUUUAGUCAGAGGUGAAAGCCCAGGGCUCAACCUUGGAAUUGCCUUUGAUACUGGCUAUCUUGAGUACGGAAGAGGUAUGUGGAACUCCGAGUGUAGAGGUGAAAUUCGUAGAUAUUCGGAAGAACACCAGUGGCGAAGGCGACAUACUGGUCCGUUACUGACGCUGAGGCUCGAAAGCGUGGGGAGCAAACAGGAUUAGAUACCCUGGUAGUCCACGCUGUAAACGAUGAGUGCUAGUUGUCGGCAGGCAUGCCUGU
rnacentral:rRNA from 1 species